rnacentral:rRNA from 1 species
GAGUUUGAUCGUGGCUCAGGAUGAACGCUGGCGGCGUGCUUAACACAUGCAAGUCGAACGAAGCGCCUUAUUUGAUUUUCUUCGGAACUGAAGAUUUGGUGACUGAGUGGCGGACGGGUGAGUAACGCGUGGGUAACCUGCCCUGUACAGGGGGAGUAACAAUCAGAAAUGACUGCUAAUACCGCAUAAGACCACAGCACCGCAUGGUGCAGGGGUAAAAACUCCGGUGGUACAGGAUGGACCCGCGUCUGAUUAGCUGGUUGGUGAGGUAACGGCUCACCAAGGCGACGAUCAGUAGCCGGCUUGAGAGAGUGAACGGCCACAUUGGGACUGAGACACGGCCCAAACUCCUACGGGAGGCAGCAGUGGGGAAUAUUGCACAAAUGGGGGAAACCCUGAUGCAGCAACGCCGCGUGAGUGAAGAAGUAUUUCGGUAUGUAAAGCUCUAUCAGCAGGGAAGAAAGUGACGGUACCUGACUAAGAAGCCCCGGCUAACUACGUGCCAGCAGCCGCAGU